CUUUCGUCGGCCAGGUGGCGCAAGGCUUGCUAAGGGGAAGUACGAGCGAAAGAGUGAGACAGAAAAACACGGCGCCAACAACGGACGGCAUCGCCCAAUCUCAGAGAAAGCGAGAGGGAUGAUAUCGUCGACAGAGUUAAUACAUAAUUAUCGACCCAUUGAAAUAUCAAAAGCAUGAAAGAAGUAUUUCCAAGGAUGAUAUAUACUGGUACGCUAACGCUGAUUUGAGUUUUCCGGUGUGUCAACAUCAAAGUCACAAACGCACUUGCGUAUUACGUGAGAUGAAAAGAGAGAGAGAGAGAGAAAGAGAGAAAUAGAGGGUGAACGACAUUAGGGACGUCGAACCAUCCAACUCGAGCAACAAGGAUAAUUAUGGCAGUCCGCCGGAGUUGUAGAGCAUCGUUUAGAAUGCAGCCGGCACGAAGCGUCCUUUCUACGUAUACUUUCUUUCCUUUCCUCCUUGAGAAAUCAACGAGGAAGAAAAUGAAAUAUGGCGGAACGAUACCAACUCGUCUUGCUUUACAGAUUUAUGAGAUAAACGAUGGACGCUUGCCAGAAUAUUCACCUGUUAUGUAAGAAUCAAACGUGCUUAAAGUCUGAUGAGAUUUUCGAGAAAUCGUAUCGCAAAAUCAUAUGCAUAAUGUAUGUUUAAAUAUAUUGUUCGGGACUUA